rnacentral:rRNA from 1 species
CCCUUAGAUGUUCUGGGCCGCACGCGCGCUACACUGACGGAGCCAGCGAGUAUAAACCUUGGCCGAGAGGUCUGGGAAAUCUUGUGAAACUCCGUCGUGCUGGGGAUAGAGCAUUGUAAUUAUUGCUCUUCAACGAGGAAUUCCUAGUAAGCGCAAGUCAUCAGCUUGCGUUGAUUACGUCCCUGCCCUUUGUACACACCGCCCGUCGCUACUACCGAUUGAAUGGCUUAGUGAGGCUUCCGGAUUGGUUUAGAGAAGGGGGCAACUCCAUCUUGGAACCGAGAAGCUAGUCAAACUUGGUCAUUUAGAGGAAGUAAAAGUCGUAACA